UACUAAUUCAGUCGUGGUAACUGUACAAUGGAGCCCUUAUCAAUGCAGCAGCGUGGCGCUCGUCUAGUGAUGUAGUCGACACCUCGUAAAUACGAUCUCGUGCAACUUAGCGCAUGCGCACAACAACACCAACAACACCGGGGCACCAAUAUCAGCAUAGCAUACGUAGACGGACUGAGAAACAAUUUAAAUACGAGUAACAUGGACAUUAACAUGAAGUUGCGGAUAUCGGAUCGGUUUACAUCGAGAGCGAGCCGCGGCACCGGCUGCGAUCGUAUCGCCGCCAUGAAACAUGUGUACACCGACGGUUGCAUCAGUUUAUAAUUUCCAAUGAUGCGGAUGAACAUCCAUGAGGAGUCAGCGCUGUCAUCAUAUUGUUUCUACAUGGGUGGUUAACAUCUCCCGUUAGACGCGACACGGGCACGACGGCGAUCGACAACGGCGCAGUCCCGUCGGCAGCGCACGACACGCCGUAAAACAAGUAGAUGAGGUGCAAUUGGAAAACACUGGGUUGUAUUGUGAACGUGGAACGCUGAUAAUCUACCUGAUGGCAAUUGGCAAUCGUCGCCUAUAGUUAUGAACAGAACGGCGUGAAAAAGUUAG